CAGGGGAGGAUAUAGUCACAUCAUGGACCAUCACUUCUUGACAGUUGUCGAACUUAAGAUGGCACUGUGAGCUGUUGAUAAUAGUGAUAUCAGCUACCACAACUUUGAAACUACCAUAGAACCUCAAUGCCUGCAUCAAGUUUGAUCUGUGGCAUUCUAUCAAGCUCCACAUUGUACUGCUGGAAAGUACCCAAGGCCCCGUGGAUGUAACCAACAUGAUAUCAUGCAUGGUAUGCCAAAUACGAGGUUAGUUUGAAACAGAGCAUUUGAAAGGCAAACUGGGACAAAAAGAAUUGCUGUUGAGAAAUUCAGACCCAGAGAAUGCUUGAUGCUUGAAGCAGAGCAUUGAAAGGGCAAAGCUGCCAACCUUAGUGUCAUCUGAGACUCCGUCACCCUUGGCUCCAAAAUCAACCACGUUGAAGACUGCACCCUGUGAGCCUGCCGAUGGUGGCUGUGGCGGCGGUUGAGAACCCUUUCCACAGCUUGGAGUUGGUGACUUGGAACUUGAAUGCCUAUUGCCGUUGGCAGGGCUUGGACUCGGGCUGACAGGAGCAUUCGGGGUUGGGCUUGGACUUGGUUGGUAUGGAUUCUGGUAUCCUUUGCCAGCACCAGGACUCGGUGUCGAGCUGACCGGUGGCUUCGGGCUCGUCUGGUUGCGGCUGUAUUGACGGUGGGAGCUUCCCUUCUUUCCUUUGCCUUUCUUCUUUAACUGAGACGAGCUUUGUGAGCCCCUUUGCCUCCAAUGCUUGCCUAUUCUUGCGUCGCAGACGUCAAUGGUGGAGCAGAGAGCAAGCAAGACAAGGAGAAGGAGGCCGAUGCCUUUUGCUCUGAGCUUCAUCCUUUUGUUUGUUUCUAUUUGCUGUGUGGAGAUUAGAGUGCGUAUGUGCUGGGAAAGUAGAUGGAGAAUUCAGAGCGAGAGGCUUGUGAGGAGGGAAGGGAGGGGGUUUAAAUAGCAGACCUCAGAGUUGGCUAUGUUCCUGUUUCACAGGAUUUUAGGUGAAAAUGAAAUGAAAAAUAUUGGGAGAUGGGGCCCCAACUCCCGUGCAGGCAAGGGCAAACAUACGCGUCAGUCUUGCAAUUGCACAGAGGGGUUGUAGUGUCCUCUUGUUACUUUUGUUCAUCCCCAUAGCCAUUUGUAGCGUUUGAUU